UGUGUGUGUGUGUGUGUGUGUGUGUGUGUGUGUGUGUCCGUCCGUCCGUCCGUCCACGCACACGUACGCGCACGCCCAACACACACAGA